rnacentral:snoRNA from 1 species
UGGCAUCCACUGAUAGACCUGAAGUCAGUUGUCUUAGAUUCUGGUUUUGCAUUUGGAUGCAAGAAAGUUAUUAGCUUCUGAUUUGCAGAUUGGAUUAGAUUAUGGAACACACCC